UACGUAGGGGGCAAGCGUUGUCCGGAAUCAUUGGGCGUAAAGCGCGCGUAGGCGGCCCGGUAAGUCCGCUGUAAAAGUCCAGGGCUCAACCCUGGAAAGCCGGUGGAUACUGUCGGGCUAGAGUCCGGAAGAGGCGAGUGGAAUUCCCGGUGUAGCGGUGAAAUGCGCAGAUAUCGGGAGGAACACCAAUGGCGAAGGCAGCUCGCUGGGACGUUACUGACGCUGAGACGCGAAAGCGUGGGGAGCAAACAGG
rnacentral:rRNA from 1 species